GAUGAACGCUGGCGGCGUGCCUAAUACAUGCAAGUCGAGCGAACGGACGAUAAGCUUUCUUCUCUGAUGUUAGCGGCGGACGGGUGAGUAACACGUGGAUAACCUACCUAUAAUACUUGGAUAACUUCGUUAAACCGGAUCUAAUACCGGAUAAUAUUUUGAACCGCAUUGUUCAAAAGUUAAAGACGGUCUUUCUGUCACUUAUAGAUGGAUCCGCGCUGCAUUAGCUAGUUGGUAAGGUAACGGCUUACCAAGGCAACGAUGCAUAUCCGACCUGAGAGGGUGAUAGGACACAAUGGAAAUGAGACACGGUAAAGAAAACUACGGGAGGCAGAAGUAGGGAAGAGUACGCAAUGGGCGAAAUAAUGAAGGAGAAACGACGCGUGAGUGAUGAAGGUAUUCGGAUAGUAAAAAUCUGUUAUUAGGGAAGAAAAUAUGUGGAAGUAACUGUGCAAAUAUUGACGGUACCUAAUCAGAAAGCAACGGCUAACUACGUG
rnacentral:rRNA from 1 species